rnacentral:rRNA from 1 species
CGUGUAGGCGGCCAGAUAGGUCUGGUGUGAAAACUCGAGGCUCAACCUCGAGAGGUCACUGGAAACCAUUUGGCUAGAGUCCGGAAGAGGAGAGUGGAAUUCCUGGUGUAGCGGUGAAAUGCGCAGAUAUCAGGAAGAACACCUAUGGCGAAGGCAGCUCUCUGGGACGGUACUGACGCUGAGACGCGAAAGCGUGGGGAGCAAACA